GGCUAUGGCUGCACCACCCUGGACAUGUCUAAUCUUGUCUGAUAUCGGAAGCUAAGCAGGGUUGAACCUGCUUAGUUCUUGGAUGGGAGAAGAUGGGUAUAGGGUUUGAAUUCUGUGACCAAGGCCA
rnacentral:rRNA from 1 species